GUCUGGUCGUUUUCUUUUCUUUUUUGUGUGGGCAGGUUGGGGGUUAGAGUGGGAAGAGAGAGAGUGGUGAGUGUAUCUUGGGCACGCGGCGGCGGAGGCUGGAUUUGGAUUGAGCUGGCGCGGCGGCGGGCAGGCGAACAAGGGAGCGCGGUGUAGUUGAGGUUGGGACUGGAAGGAGGGGCAUCCCGUGGUAGGCGGGUCCUCGUCGUCGAGGUAGGCGACGCGACUCCUCAUCGUCGCGACAGUUCGCGGUGGCAUGUCCUCGUCGUCGCGGCAGUUCGCGGUGGUCUGUCCUCGUCGUCUUGGCAGGUGGUCAUUCCUCUUCGUUCCGGCAGCCGGCGGCUCCUAGGUCGCGACCAAAAGGAGGUGGACACCGGAGACAAGGCCGACUAAAGGAAGGGAGACGGGCCGGACUCCACCACCCCCGUUCACUUCUUAAAUGUAGCCAAGACAAUGUCCUUGUCUCCUACCAGGAGGAUUCGACGAAUUACUACCAACGAUUACUGCUACUAAAUAUAAAGCUACUACUACUGCCACUACUCGGUAACUACGAGCUCCUACUUCGUCCCAAUCGGCUCCAGGAGCUUCGGACAGAGACUGCGACUACCCACCUGGCGAGACGACGGAUCCGUACUAGUCGGACCCUUCAUCAUAAUUCCUGUACUCUUCGUUAUGAACCGCGACAAACCAGACUUCCAUCUCAACCUUAGGGAGAUCGGGUCGAGAUCCGUCCUCCAGCCAACCUUAACCUAGUCAUAGUCCUAAUCCUUCGUUGGUUCAGUGGGAAAACUAGUUGAUUUUAUCAUUGUUGUCAGUUACCACUGAACACUGGUACUCCAGUGCACAAGUUCAGGACCUUUCUCGGAGAACAUCUUUACAUCCCUUUCCGACGCAUGUUAUCUGGGUUUCGCCAGCCUGGGAAGGGGCCUGGGACGCGUUCACCUCAAUGUACGUGGCCCGACGGGAAAACUGCGAACGUCUGGUACACUACAACGAACGAAUAUAUAGUUGUUCGUGUGCCGAGGCACCCGCUCCUCCUAUUGACCCUGGGGUUGGGGUUCAGCUGCUGGGAC
rnacentral:rRNA from 1 species